rnacentral:lncRNA from 1 species
AUGGCUCAGCAUUAUGUUAUCAGCACAUUCACUCUCUACAGUUCUGAUCUCUGCAGACACGUCUCAACAUCUUCACCUGGAACCAGCAUCCACUUCUGGGUAUUGGUGUUUUUUUUGGGGGGGGUGAAGCAGGUGGGAAUGACAGAGGAAAAUGUGCUUCAAGUGCCGGCCGCGUGCCCGGCAAGGAGCAGGCGCUUCGGACGUGUUGGUCCUCACCGCCCGCCCCCCGCCGUCCUGACCGUCCCUCCGAGAGGAGGUUGUGGCCACAGUCAGUUCCUGGAUUCAGGGUGGGGGAAAAACCUUGUUAUAAAUUUGCAAGUGAACCUGGGGCCGGCUGCUUACUCCUUACCGCCGUUGUGCCAUUUCCAAGGCCUGUGGAGACAGGCUUAGAAUUUUCGGGGGACGGAGGAGGUGGCAGCGGGGGAUGCUGUGCUCUGGGGAGUCCUUCUGGGAAGGGUGGAGGUCACUGCCCUUCGUGUUUCUGAGAGAAGCCCUGCCUCUCCGCCCCUUGUGGCCAGAGGGUUUGCGGAGAAAAGCACCGUCCCAGAAAGGAAGGGGGAAGAGGGGGCUCAGUUCCCGGUGGGCGAGCUUCACCUCCACACAGGCAGGCAGCCCCCCUGAGAAGGAAAGAGACAGAGGUCAGGAGCCGCCUAAGACCCAUUGGGGACGCUGGCUUCUCCAACACCGUCGCUGCUCCGUUCUCUUUAGCUGCAGACACGGUGCCAUCCAGUCACUGGUUAGACCCCGCGCUGAGGCUGCCUGCUGCGGGGGGGGGG